rnacentral:rRNA from 1 species
UACGAAGGGGGCUAGCGUUGCUCGGAAUCACUGGGCGUAAAGGGUGCGUAGGCGGGUCUUUAAGUCAGGGGUGAAAUCCUGGAGCUCAACUCCAGAACUGCCUUUGAUACUGAAGAUCUUGAGUUCGGGAGAGGUGAGUGGAACUGCGAGUGUGGAGGUGAAAUUCGUAGAUAUUCGCAAGAACACCAGUGGCGAAGGCGGCUCACUGGCCCAAUACUGACGCUGAGGCACGAAAGCGUGGGGAGCAAACAGG